rnacentral:lncRNA from 1 species
GGGUUUAGGGUUUAGGGGUUAGGGUUUAGGGUUUAGGGCUUAGGGCUUAGGGCUUAGGUUUAGGGUUUAGAGUAUAUCAUUUGCUAACAAUUAAAUAUAUCAUAAUUGUACCACUAAUUUAUACCACUAAUUGUACCACUAAUAGUAAGUGAACAUUACUAAAUACAUUAUAGAACAUCACUAAAUAAAUUAUAGAACAUCACAUCGCAUAUAUAUUGUGUGAACAUCACUAAAUACAUCACAGAACACUAUAUGUAUACUAUGUGAACAUCGCUAAAAUAUGUUAUAGAACAUCAAAUAUAUAUUACGUGAAAAAAACUAAAUACACCAU